rnacentral:rRNA from 1 species
AACAUACGCUGGCGGCGUGCCUAACACAUGCAAGUCGUACGAGAAAGGGUCCUUCGGGGCCUGAGUAAAGUGGCGCACGGGUGAGUAACGCGUGGAUAAUCUGCCCUUCAGUUGGGAAUAACUCAUCGAAAGGUGGGCUAAUACCGAAUAAUGCUGUGAGACCUCGGUUGAUCAGCCAAAGAGAGCCUCUGCUUGCAAGCCCUCGCUGAAGGAUGAGUCCGCGUACCAUUAGCUAGUUGGUAGGGUAAUGGCCUACCAAGGCGACGAUGGUUAGCUGGUCUGAGAGGAUGAUCAGCCACACUGGAACUGAGACACGGUCCAGACUCCUACGGGAGGCAGCAGUGAGGAAUCUUGCGCAAUGGGGGCAACCCUGACGCAGCAACGCCGCGUGAGUGAGGAAGGUCUUCGGAUCGUAAAGCUCUGUCGGAUGGAAAGAACCACAUAGGGGUAAACAGCCCCUGUGUCUGACGGUACCAUCAAAGGAAGCACCGGCUAACUCCGUGCCAGCCGCCGCCGUAAUAC